ACUAUUUUGGCAGACAAGUGCCUUGAAUUUAGAAUUCAUUUAUGUAGUUUAUUUUCUACAAAUAGUA
rnacentral:tRNA from 1 species